GACGAACGCUGGCGGCGUGCUUAACACAUGCAAGUCGAACGGAAAGGCCCUGCUUGCAGGGUACUCGAGUGGCGAACGGGUGAGUAACACGUGGGUGAUCUGCCCUGCACUUCGGGAUAAGCCUGGGAAACUGGGUCUAAUACCGGAUAGGAGCCAUUUUUAGUGUGAUGGUUGGAAAGUUUUUUCGGUGUAGGAUGAGCUCGCGGCCUAUCAGCUUGUUGGUGGGGUAAUGGCCUACCAAGGCGGCGACGGGUAGCCGGCCUGGGAGGGUGGACGGCCACAUUGGGGCUGAGAUAAGGCCCAGGCUCCUACGGGAGGCAGCAGUGGGGAAUAUUGCACAAUGGGCGCAAGCCUGGUGCAGCGACGCCGCGUGGGGGAUGACGGCCUUCGGGUUGUAAACUCCUUUCGCUAGGGACGAAGCUUUUUGUGACGGUACCUAGAGAAGAAGCACCGGCUAACUACGUG
rnacentral:rRNA from 1 species